GCAAAGGUAGCAUAGUCACUUGCUUCUUAAUUGGGAGCUGGAAUGAAAGAGGCGACGAAAUCUGGACUAUUUAAAUUUAAGRAYAAAUUGACAAGCAGCUCAAAAGGCCUGCAUGCRCCARUGGGACGAUAAGACCCUAUAAAACUUUACUYUUAAUAAGGUGAYAAYCAGAAAUUUARCYNUAUUUGAGAGUUUAACUGGGGCGGUAGUUAUAAAAACAAUUAUAUAUAUAAUAUAUUAAAUAGUGUUAGUAGAACUCUUUAAGAAAUAGAACAAGUUACUUUAGGGAUAACAGCGUAAUUCUCCCAGAGAGUUCUAAUUGGCGRGAGAG
rnacentral:rRNA from 1 species